AUGCAUGGUGAGCCUGGCAGCUGGGAACGUCAAUGCCACACAGUGUCUUUCUAUCAAUGGCAUCUGGAUGCGAGAUUGGCCUCCUUCCUAGGCUUUUGGCUAGCUGCACUGCUGCCUAUCAGAUGUAUCUGUAGUAUGCAUAACAAAUUUACAUACAUUUUGCAUAGAGCUUUCAAGCUAUUACUCGUAUGUUUUAGGUUGAAGACUGCUACACUGAAGAUUAAUCAGAAAAAAAAAAAAGAAAACAUUGAAAUGGAAAAAACAUUCAGUUGUUUCAUAUAUGUAUGGCUGCGAGUCUGGUUGGAGAAGCAACAGGUCAAUUCCACAUGUUCAGGAUUUUCCAUUAAAGGUUCAAAUGACUGGAAUUUCUUGUGCUGUAGGCGAGGAUUUAUAUUGUCAUUUCCUUCAGGUAACUGAUACAAGCAGGAACUUCUUUGCCUUUUUUUUUUUUUUGCCUUUUUGCCUGUGUCUUCUGAUGUGAUAUAGGUAAAUCUGUAUAAUAUAUUUAAUUACAUUUGUAUCCAGAAGUUGUUCUGAGGAAAAUAUCUUUAUUUUUCUAAUGGACCAAUCUUAAUGGAUAACUUAUCUGACAUUCUUGGAGAUAAAGUUUUAGCAGAAAAUACUGAAACCCCUUCAGCAGAGUCACGGUUUUCCAGCUUUCAGUUUCCCUUUAAAAUUUUGGUUCUAAUUGGCAGGCUGGGAAAAGCUGUCAUGUGGACAAGGUGAUGUAUCUGACCAGUCAUUUGAUUCUUUCACAUGACAUAUGUGAAAGUCUGAAGUAAUGACUUCAGAUUGGUUUCAUCUUUAUUUAGCCCACUAAAGAACUCGUUAGAAGAAAAUGGUGGCAUUACUUCAUGUUUAGGGUUUGAGAAUGCCAUUGGGUUGGUGAGAAAAUCUUCAUUUACUGGCUUCCAGUUAGCUGGCACAUUUUUCUUACUGUUAUGUGUGUUCAUGUCUUUUUACUUGCUCUAUGUAAGCUUUCUAAUAUAUGGCUUUCUAUGUAAGAAUAUAUAUUUUACCUAAUCAGCAUAUCUGUAACCAGGGAUGAGGAUGAAAUAUGUAUUUUAUGCUAGCCAAAGAGGAUCCCGAUAUAGCUCUAGUGUAUGUGGGAAUUGCUUAGAUCCUACUGUGCUGAGCAUACAGCAAUGCUAUAAAUGGAUACCUUUCAUGCCCUGUUGUGAUAUAUUACAGGAAUUUUGUAAGUCUAACUUAAUGAGAUCCAAAUUGUCCUUCAGAAGAAAUCUAUGCAUCUUCUGUGAUGGAACCAAGAAAAUAUUGAUUUCCCGUGGCAUUCAGGUCUAGGUCAUAACCACUGACAUAAGAAAUAAAACUGAGUUGACUCUUAGAACGACA
rnacentral:lncRNA from 1 species